UAGGGAAUCUUCCACAAUGGACGCAAGUCUGAUGGAGCAACGCCGCGUGAGUGAAGAAGGUUUUCGGAUCGUAAAGCUCUGUUGUUGGUGAAGAAGGAUAGAGGCAGUAACUGGUCUUUAUUUGACGGUAAUCAACCAGAAAGUCACGGCUAACUACGUGCCAGCAGCCGCGGUAAUACGUAGGUGGCAAGCGUUGUCCGGAUUUAUUGGGCGUAAAGCGAGCGCAGGCGGAAUGAUAAGUCUGAUGUGAAAGCCCACGGCUCAACCGUGGAUCUGCAUCGGAAACUGUCAUUCAUGAGUGCAGAAGAGAGGAGUGGAAUUCAUGUGUAGCGGUGGAAUGCAUAGAUAUAUGGAAGACCACCAGUGGCGAAGACGGCUCUCUGGUCUGCAACUGACGCUGAGGCUCGAAAGCAUGGGUAGCGAACAGG
rnacentral:rRNA from 1 species